UGCUGGAGGUAUCAGAAGUGCGAAUGCUGACAUAAGUAACGAUAAAGCGGGUGAAAAGCCCGCUCGCCGGAAGACCAAGGGUUCCUGUCCAACGUUAAUCGGGGCAGGGUGAGUCGACCCCUAAGGCGAGGCCGAAAGGCGUAGUCGAUGGGAAACAGGUUAAUAUUCCUGUACUUGGUGUUACUGCGAAGGGGGGACGGAGAAGGCUAUGUUGGCCGGGCGACGGUUGUCCCGGUUUAAGCGUGUAGGCUGGUUUUCCAGGCAAAUCCGGAAAACCAAGGCUGAGGCGUGAUGACGAGGCACUACGGUGCUGAAGCGACAAAUGCCCUGCUUCCAGGAAAAGCCUCUAAGCAUCAGGUAACAUCAAAUCGUACCCCAAACCGACACAGGUGGUCAGGUAGAGAAUACCAAGGCGCUUGAGAGAACUCGGGUGAAGGAACUAGGCAAAAUGGUGCCGUAACUUCGGGAGAAGGCACGCUGAUAUGUAGGUGAAGCGACUAGCUCGUGGAGCUGAAAUCAGUCGAAGAUACCAGCUGGCUGCAACUGUUUAUUAAAAACACAGCACUGUGCAAACACGAAAGUGGACGUAUACGGUGUGACGCCUGCCCGGUGCCGGAAGGUUAAUUGAUGGGGUUAGCGGUAACGCGAAGCUCUUGAUCGAAGCCCCGGUAAACGGCGGCCGUAACUAUAACGGUCCUAAGGUAGCGAAAUUCCUUGUCGGGUAAGUUCCGACCUGCACGAAUGGCGUAAUGAUGGCCAGGCUGUCUCCACCCGAGACUCAGUGAAAUUGAACUCGCUGUGAAGAUGCAGUGUACCCGCGGCAAGACGGAAAGACCCCGUGAACCUUUACUAUAGCUUGACACUGAACAUUGAGCCUUGAUGUGUAGGAUAGGUGGGAGGCUUUGAAGUGUGGACGCCAGUCUGCAUGGAGCCGACCUUGAAAUACCACCCUUUAAUGUUUGAUGUUCUAACGUUGGCCCGUAAUCCGGGUUGCGGACAGUGUCUGGUGGGUAGUUUGACUGGGGCGGUCUCCUCCUAAAGAGUAACGGAGGAGCACGAAGGUUGGCUAAUCCUGGUCGGACAUCAGGAGGUUAGUGCAAUGGCAUAAGCCAGCUUGACUGCGAGCGUGACGGCGCGAGCAGGUGCGAAAGCAGGUCAUAGUGAUCCGGUGGUUCUGAAUGGAAGGGCCAUCGCUCAACGGAUAAAAGGUACUCCGGGGAUAACAGGCUGAUACCGCCCAAGAGUUCAUAUCGACGGCGGUGUUUGGCACCUCGAUGUCGGCUCAUCACAUCCUGGGGCUGAAGUAGGUCCCAAGGGUAUGGCUGUUCGCCAUUUAAAGUGGUACGCGAGCUGGGUUUAGAACGUCGUGAGACAGUUCGGUCCCUAUCUGCCGUGGGCGCUGGAGAACUGAGGGGGGCUGCUCCUAGUACGAGAGGACCGGAGUGGACGCAUCACUGGUGUUCGGGUUGUCAUGCCAAUGGCACUGCCCGGUAGCUAAAUGCGGAAGAGAUAAGUGCUGAAAGCAUCUAAGCACGAAACUUGCCCCGAGAUGAGUUCUCCCUGAGACUUAGAGUCUCCUGAAGGAACGUUGAAGACGACGACGUUGAUAGGCCGGGUGUGUAAGCGCAGCGAUGCGUUGAGCUAACCGGUACUAAUGAACCGUGAGGCUUAACCUU
rnacentral:rRNA from 1 species